UUGCUCUCUUUUGGUUUAACCUCCACCACCUGCAUAUCUUCCUUAGCUUCUACGACCCUGGUGAUUGGUUCAGAAGAUUUCUCACCACUGUCUUUCUCUUUCUCUUUCUCUUUCUUUUCCUCCUGUUUCUCUGCUGGUUUUGAGGCGCCAUUCUCCUUCUCUUUUGUUUCUUCCUUUUUCUCUGCUGGUUUUGAGGCGCCCUUCUCCUUCUCUUUUGUUUCUUCCUUUUUCUCUUCUGGUUUUGAGGCACCCUUCUCCUUCUCUUUUGUUUCUUCCUUUUUCUCUGGUUUUGGGGGCACAAUUUCUGCAUGUUUGUGCACCUUUUUUCGUAAAU
rnacentral:lncRNA from 1 species